AGCCUGAUCAGCGACGCCGCGUGUGUGAUGAAGGCCUUCGGGUUGUAAGCCCUGUCAGGAGGGAAGAACGUUCCUAUAGCGAAUAGAUAUAGGCCGUGACGGUACCUCCCAAGGAAGCACCGGCCAACUCCGUGCCAGCAGCCGCGGUAAGACGGAGGGUGCGAGCGUUGCUCGGAAUCACUGGGCGUAAAGGGUGCGUAGGCGGUCCUUCAAGUCUGACGUGAAAGCCCAGGGCUCACCCCUGGAAUUGCGCCAGAAACUGAUGGACUUGAGUACCGGAGGGGAAAGUGGAAUUCCCGGUGUAGCGGUGAAAUGCGUAAAUAUCGGGAGGAAUACCGGUGGCGAAAGCGACUCUCUGGACGGUUACUGACGCUAAGGCACGAAAGCCUGGGGAGCAAACAGGAUUAAAUACCCUGGUAGUCCACGCCGUAAACAAUGGGCACUAGGUGUCGGGGGUAUUCACUCCCCCGGUGCCGCCGCUAACGCAUUAAGUGCCCCGCCUGGGAAAUA
rnacentral:rRNA from 1 species